CUUUUCGGCGUGAUUUUACCAGCCCCACACCACGUUUUGUGGGAGCAUGAUGAACGCUAAGUACUUGGUGUUAUUUGGACAUAAAUUAUGAACUUUGUCAAAAGAAACCACAUUUGUUCCGGACCUGGAAUGCCUUCCGGACCUGGGAUCCUGCCUUCUGAUGGAGAUAAUCAAAGGUUAAUGACGGCCUACCCAGGCCAAACCAUAAUGGUGCUGGAUCAGUUGUGCGCCACCCUAUGUGACCCCAAUCACGGCCGGUUGUGAUACAGCCUGGAUUCGAAUCAGGGUCUGUAAUGACACCUCUAGCACUGAGAUGCAGCCCAGCUAGCAACGAGGAAUCUGCCCAGAAGCGGCCCUCUUCCGGGGGGGCCGGAACUGAUUGAAUCGGCCCGGAAUCGGGUGUCGGACUCGGCCCGGAAUCAAAAUGAAUAACUGCCCAGAAUCAGCCCAAGUACAUCGGGCCGUUUCAGUCUACCGGAAUUCAGCUGACUUUGCCGGCAUCUUACCAGAAUCCCCCCCAGAAGCGACCGGAUGCAAACUGAAAUAAAUGUAUACAAAAUUACCCGAUUUAGUCAUUUUAAAUAUUACUAUUAUACAUUUUAUACAUACAAAUUAUACCCAUCCACAAAAAAGCAUUUUGUGUCGGAGGAAACGCCAUACACCUGGUGACCGUGUCAGUGUUCAUGCGCCUGGCCCUCCAUAGGAGUCGCUACAGCGCGAUGGGACAAGGACAUCCCGGCUGGCCAAACCCUCCCCUAACUCGAACGACACUCAGCAAAUUAUACAUCACCUCAUGGGUCUCCCGGGCGCAGCCGGCACGGGUCUCGAACAGGAAUCUGGAAUCUGUAGCAACGCAGUGUCUUAGACCGCUGCACCACUCGGGAGGUUCCAGCCAUAAAGGUUUUAAUGCUUAUCAAAUGUCUUGCACCAAGUAUCAAAAUACUAAAAUACUGCACAGGACUCUAAAAUAAUUUCAUUUAAAUGUUAAUUCUAUCUUAAUUUGAUCACAGAAACAAUGAGAAAAUAUGAUAAAAUAAAUAAUGGAAUGUUAAUUAUAUAAAGCAGCCUGUGUAAUCAUCUGCCAGAGUAGCCCCAAUCGGCCCGAACCCCAAGUAAUACAUUUGGGCCAGGUAACUCACGCCGGAAUCGGGCCAAGCUCAAUCCCCA
rnacentral:lncRNA from 1 species